UACGUAGGGUGCAAGCGUUGUCCGGAAUUAUUGGGCGUAAAGAGCUCGUAGGCGGUUUGUCGCGUCUGCUGUGAAAACCCGAGGCUCAACCCCGGGUCUGCAUUCGAUACGGGCUAGCUAGAGUGUGGUAGGGGAGAUCGGAAUUCCUGGUGUAGCGGUGAAAUGCGCAGAUAUCAGGAGGAACACCGGUGGCGAAGGCGGAUCUCUGGGCCGUAACUGACGCUGAGGAGCGAAAGCAUGGGGAGCGAACAGG
rnacentral:rRNA from 1 species